ensembl:snoRNA
UGAUGACAAUUCUCCGGAAUCGCUGCACUGCUUUGAUGAAAGCACAUUUGAACCCUUUUCCAUCUGAGCACUGAGGGGUCUUGAU